rnacentral:rRNA from 1 species
CCCUUAGAUGUCCUGGGCCGCACGCGUGCUACACUGACACUUGCAACGAGUACCUUGCUUUACCGAAAGGUAAUGCUAAUCAUCAAUAAGUGUCGUGAUGGGGAUAGAUCUUUGGAAUUAUGGAUCUUGAACGAGGAAUGCCUAGUAAGCGUAGGUCAUUAGCCUACGCUGAUUAAGUCCCUGCCCUUUGUACACACCGCCCGUCGCUCCUACCGAUUUCGAGUGGUCCGGUGAAACUUUUGGACCGUGCGACUUUAUUGUUGUCACGGAAAGUCAGUUAAACCAUACUACUUAGAGGAAGGAGAAGUCGUAACA